UGCCAGCAGCCGCGGUAAUACGGAGGGUCCAAGCGUUAUCCGGAUUUAUUGGGUUUAAAGGGUUCGUAGGCGGGUUAUUAAGUCAGUGGUGAAAGCCUUCAGCUUAACUGGAGAAUUGCCAUUGAUACUGAUAGUCUUGAGUAUACUUGAAGUUGGCGGAAUAUGUCAUGUAGCGGUGAAAUGCAUAGAUAUGACAUAGAACACCGAUUGCGAAAGCAGCUGACUAAAGUAAAACUGACGCUGAGGAACGAAAGCGUGGGGAGCGAACAGGAUUAGAUA
rnacentral:rRNA from 1 species